UGGAGGCGGCCCUGCGGCCCCCACAGCAAUGAGGGCCCAGCAGAAGUGGGGCUGAGCGUGGGGUGAAGACGCAUGGGGGGCUGUGGGAUGUGUGGGGCGCUGGGGAGACUGAAGCACGGGGCUGGGGGGGGGUGGAGGGCUGCGGCACCCCGGGGACGUCCCGCUGCGGAGUUCAAGGCUCAGCAGAUCGAUAUCCAGAUGGCGGGUGGGCAGACGGGGUGUGGGGUGGGCUGCAAGGGGGGGGGGCAGGGACACCAGGGUGUGGGGAAUGGGGACACAAGGAUUCCAGGCAGGGAUGGGGGGGGGGCAGAAGUGUAGGACACAGAUGUUGAUAUGCACACGUUAAUGUAUAUAUGAUCACGUGGAUAAAGAUCCACUGGAAGAGCUCUGGUGGGGGCAAAGAGCAGGAGGUGGGCUGGCUGCACCGUGGGGACACGGAGGGGUGUGCUGGGGGGCUGCGGGGAUGCAGAGCUGGAGGGAUGCAGGGCAGGGAUGCACAGUGGGGAUGCAGGGAUGUAGGGAUGCACAGUGGGGCUGUAGGGCUGCCGUCUCGGCCGGGACCAGGCUGCCUUGUCGGGGGUUCCGGGGGGGCCACUGGCAGUGGUGUGGAUGGGCUGACCCAUGGGUUGAAGGUCAGGGCUCCGUGCUCAGACCCCUUUUCAGAUUCAAAUGCUCUCCCGGGGGCUUUGUGCUGGGGUCAGGCUUCACCGAGAGCCGCGUGAAAGGGUCGGGGCGUUCGGGUGGCUUUCAUGUCCCGGGUGCCGGGAGGAGGGGGCACAGACAGAGGCCUGGCCCAGGGAUACCCCCCUCCCCCCCCCAUCCCCAACCCCGGUGCCCCCCGAGCUCUGCUGCCAGGAACGGGGCAGCAGAACCCCAUUGCUUCACCCACAAACCUGCAGCUGCCCCAUGAUUGCUCUGCGCGCUCAAUGGCGGUUUGCAAAACGCAGCCACCCCAGGCCUCAGUUGCCCCCCCCGUGGGCUGCCAGGAGGCUCAGGGCACCCACAAAGCCCCAACACCCCGAAAGCAGGACCCAGUGCGGGGCUGCGGCCAUUCCCACAGAGCGUAGGGCAGGGGGUGUGCCGGGGAGGGGGGGGGGAUGGGGAGCACGGCGAUGGGGAGCGCCCCAUGGGUGCAGCAGGAGGUGGGGGAGCGGUGACUCCUGGCCCCCGGGGAGGGAGCGUCCAGCAGUGCCGGGGUGGGGGCCGGGGGUGUGGGAUCUGAUAGCCCCAGGAAUGCAGGGCAGGGAGCGGCCCUCACCGUGGGAGCAGCUGGGGGAGGUGGGGGGCAGCUGCCAAUGGGGGCUGGGGGGUGAGGAGGGGUUGGGGUCUCCCAGCAUAGGGCCGGGGGGGGGGGGGGGGGCAAAACCGCCUCUCCGUGAGGGGUUGGGGGGAGUGGGGCUCCACGUGCAUGCGCGUGCAUGCGUGUGCAUGGGUGCACGCACACCACAUGCAGUUGCAGGUGUAGACCUGCAGGCAGAUCCAGCGGGGUGCAGCAGUACGGAGCCCUGCGACCUCUCCUCGUGGCAGCACUGCUCUGCACACAGCCCCGGCGUUGGGGGGGAACAGAGGAGGGGAUGGGCUGAGAACAGGGGAAGGAACGGAGCUCCCCUUCUGCUCUUGUGGGGCUGCGCAUCCCCGUUGGGUUCCAAAAGCGGGGAUGGACGGACAGAUGGACGGACUGACAGACAGCACAAACCCAGGCAGAGCUGCUGGUGGGUGCGCAGGGGGCACAGCUGCACUGCAGCCCCACUGCUGGAAAAUGGGGGCGGCGAUGGCACUGCAAACCCAGCGUGGCCGAAUGGGCACCGAUAGCUUUUCUCAUCCUCCAGGGGGUGAGGAGGAGGGGGAGAGGCAGCGAAAGGGCCAUAAAUCACCGUCUGACACGGGAGAAAGGAGCUGCGGGGAUGGCUGCAGGUACCGCGUGAGCGCGGAUCCCCGCAGACAGGAGGAAAUGGAGGUUUUAUUUAUGGCCGGAGCUGCCAUCCGUCUCCCUCUGCUGUUCCGUGGCCUUUGCUUCGUUUUGCUCUAUUUAUUUAUUAUUGCUUUUUUUUCUUUUCUUUUUUUUUUCAACCCGGCCUUCCUCGCUUCCCUUUCCCUUCAGGGCUGGGGAUGCCAGAGGUGCCAACCCGCAGCUCCAACCCCGUUCCCCGCAGGGUCCCCCCACGAGGUGUGGGAUGCACUGCGCUGCCGGGGGGGGAGUUUGGCCCCAAGGUGAAAGGCGAAGGCGCAGCCAUAGGGCUGUCCCACGGGCGGCCGCCUCUGUAUGCAGUUUAUUCCCUCGUUAAUAAUUAACCAGGAGCGGCACCGCGGGCACCCCCAGCCCACUGGCCUUGCAGGGCCAGCUGACGAGCUCUGGUCGGGCUGACUUGGUUAAUUAACCACACGAUGAACACAUUUCAUAGGGCUGCGUGGAGCUCGGGCCUGAGGGACCCCAACGCUGCAGGACCCCGUCGCUGUGUCCCCCCAGUCCUGCGCCCCCCCCGUGUCCCUGUGCCCUUUCGCCCUGUCCCCUUUCCACCCCCCCGAGUCCCCAUCCUUUUGUCCCCUUCUGUCCCGUGUCCUUCUGCCCUCUCCCCAUCCCAGUCCUACAAUCCCAGCCCUGUGCCCUUCUGCCCUCUGCCCAUCCCCGCGCCUCUGGCCCCAUCCCCAUCCCCAUCCCCUUCUAUCCCCAUCCCCUCCGUCCCCAUCCCUGCGCCCCUCUGCCCCGCUCGUGUCCCCGUCCCCCUCCCCGUCCCGUCCGUCCCGCCGUGUCCCCAUUGCGCGCACCCACGCGGGACCGAUUCCCGCAGCCGCCCCCUCCGCUCGGCCCCGAUCCCCCCCCGAGCGCUGCGGGGA
ensembl:lncRNA